UACGGGGGGAGCAAGCGUUGUUCGGAUUUACUGGGCGUAAAGGGCGCGUAGGCGGCCACCGCAAGUCGACUGUGAAAUCUCCGGGCUUAACCCGGAAAGGUCAGCCGAUACUGCGGGGCUAGAGUGCAGAAGGGGGCAACUGGGAAUUCUCGGUGUAGCGGUGAAAUGCGUAGAUAUCGAGAGGAACACCUGCGGCGAAGGCGGGUUGCUGGGCUGACACUGACGCUGAUGCGCGAAAAGCUAGGGGGGAGCGAAACGGGG
rnacentral:rRNA from 1 species